GGACGAACGCUGGCGGCGUGCCUACUCCAUGCAAGUCGAACGCUGAAGGAGGAGCUUGCUUCUCUGGAUGAGUUGCGAACGGGUGAGUAACGCGUAGGUAACCUGCCUGGUAGCGGGGGAUAACUAUUGGAAACGAUAGCUAAUACCGCAUAAUAGUAGAUGUUGCAUGACAUUUGCUUAAAAGGUGCAAUUGCAUCACUACCAGAUGGACCUGCGUUGUAUUAGCUAGUCGGUGAGGUAACGGCUCACCAAGGCAACGAUACAUAGCCGACCUGAGAGGGUGAUCGGCCACACUGGGACUGAGACACGGCCCAGACUCCUACGGGAGGCAGCAGUAGGGAAUCUUCGGCAAUGGACGGAAGUCUGACCGAGCAACGCCGCGUGAGUGAAGAAGGUUUUCGGAUCGUAAAGCUCUGUUGUAAGAGAAGAACGAGUGUGAAAGUGGAAAGUUCACACUGUGACGGUAGCUUACCAGAAAGGGACGGCUAACUACGUG
rnacentral:rRNA from 1 species